AGGCCCUGAGUGAUCACUCCAUCCUCCUUUUUUUCUCCUCUUCCACAGGAGAACAGUGAGACGCAGGCAUUGGUGGAGGAAAGUGAAGACGAUCUGCAAAGAGAUAUUCAGAUAGGCAGGCAUCAGCUCCCGGGCACCAGGCAGCGCGGCAACUGGAAGGUUUCCCGCAAGACCCACAGGGACCCCGGAUACAAGGCACAACCGGACAUUGAAAAAGCAGGGACACCCUCAACCCCUUCACAGGAGGACGAGAGUUUCCCAGACGCGAUACAGAAUGGGGGGCUCAGUGGGACGCUGAAUCCUCCGUUCGGCACUGGAGCCAGGUUAGACCCUAUCUCAGCUGGAACAGGAGAAAGAGACAAUGAAAGAGCAGCACCGGGGAUAUCUGAGAAGACGACACGAGAGAGCUCCACCGUGAGCUCCAGUGCGAAUCUCUGUCACGUCGGUCGGAAGGAGAAGGACCAACCAGAAGCCCUGGUGAACCCCUAUGGCUCAGAGGACAGAGAUGAUAAGGAUGUGACUUCAGGGCACCUAGACAAGAGCUCUGUGAAAACAGCCAGCGAGGAAAGCAUCUUUCAUUCCAAACAGAUUGGUGUUAACAGUGGGAUACCAAUUAAUCCAUUUUACUCUUGGACCAAGGAGAAAGACAGUGAGGACUUGGCCGCAGAGUCCUGUGAGAAGAUAAAUUCUGAGAAAACGGGGAGAGAUGAGAGCCUCUUUCACUCCAAACAGAUUGGUGUUAACAGUGAGAUACUGUGGAAUCCAUUUUACUCUUGGUCCAAGGACAAUGAGGUUGUCACAUUGGAGUCCCUUGGGAAAAUGAGCUCUGGGAAAACGUCCAGUGCUGAGAAGCUCUCUCAGACCAAACAGGACGGCGAUGUCGGGGAGAUGGUGAGGAAUCCCUUUCUCUCUGCGCUCAAGGAGAUGGGCCGUGAAAGCGUGGCCCCAGAGCCCUGCGAGACGCUGAGAUCUGAGGAGCCGGCCGGCAAGGGGAAACGGGGCUCCAGUGACUGGCUCAGUGGGUUCCAGAGAGAGGUGCCGUCUAACCCGUUUUAUACAUCCCCCAAGCCCCAGGGGCAGGCUGAUCUGGAGUCAUGGAGGGAUGUCCAGGCUCGCAAGAGUCUCUCUGACUCGGCUCUGAUCGCUCCGGAACCAGCAGGGCCCUCUCUGGUCCUACCUCGCGUCCUCCCUGCACCAGUCCAGGAGCGCCGGUGGUCCAGGGUGGAGACGGAGGCCCCGCUGUAUGAGAGCAUCAUCCUCAUUGGGCAGGUCCGAGCAGGGCUUGGGUGGAGAUGGACGCGGCCGUUACUUGUGGGGUUUCUGGACUGAUAGGCUGGA
rnacentral:lncRNA from 1 species